UUUUUUUGGCUGUGAAUUUGUUGGUUAUGCAGUGCUCGCAUGCAAUCUUGUUUUCUUUAGUUUGGUAUAUACAAUAAUAUAUAUAUGUAUAUACAGGCCAUCUAAUAGUCAGUUGGUGGCAAUAGAGUGGUCUUAUUUUGACCACGACCUAGAAAGUAACAUGAAAAUGUUUCAAUAACAUCCUCACGUCUUUGUGUUAGAAUGGAGGUCUCAGUGAUUUCGUUUCUGUGUAGUUCACGACUAAAUCAACUGCUGCUAACAUCGUCCACUAGACAAGAAUGUCAAGUAGCUGAAAACUUGCUGCCCACUUCCUUCAGAUGUAUUGGAUGCCAGGUUGAAUGUUCACCCAAUCUGUUUGGGUUUCCUCAUUUUCUGGAGGAUAGUCUUGCACGGUUCAAAAUAUUGUUUUUUUUUAAAGAGUUCAUGGACCAAACAUUAAAUGUACGUCGUACACACAUUUCAGAAACAUGUAUGCAUUUCUUUUGUGACAGUUUGAUUGUGCGGUCCAAUGUUGAGAGAGAGAGAGAGAGCAAUACAUUGUUGUUUUAGUCUGAGAAAUUAUUAUGUCCAUCAUUUAAAUGCAUUGUACAGUCAAAAAAAUAAUUUGUUGGAUUUUAAAUUAUUCACGAGGCGUUGAAUCAAUAAAAGAAUGUAAAAAAAAAA